UACUCUGCCGGAAACUAGGGAGUCCAUGUUUCCGAGGACAAGCAGUCAGACGCAACACGUGUUCAGUCAGUCAGGGCAGAUAUCCAACUGCAAGAAAUCAAAUGAGGUUCGCGGCCUGUCAAGCAGUUCAUGAUGCAGUUUGGGUGGACUUCCUUGAAGAUGACCUGGACAUUUCUGGCAAUGAUGAUGGGCGAUGCUGACACGUGACACAAGCGACUUACUGGAGACCACUCAGCGGCCUUAAAGUCGAAAGAGGACUUGACGGUGCCGACGCGGAGAAAGAUGAAAACGUGGGGAGUUUCAUGAACAAAGGACAGGACUCGGGGCAAGCAGGAGGAGCCCGCCUAUUCUGAAACCACGAAGAUCGAAAACUCCUCCAUAUGCAGCACAACAGUGGUGCCAUCUGCAAGGGAUGGAUGAACCUACAGCACCGGUGGAGAGCAGGUCGCCUAACCCUUGAGGCGUCACGAGGAAGAUCGGAUCAAAAGUUCAGGGAAGAGCUUACGGCGCCAACUUUCCUUCGGUGUAUACCGAGAGCUAUACAUUAAUAUUUAAACAAGCUCCUUGGAGUCAACAAACACGCAGCUACUCAAGAAAGUUGCCGCCUCUUAUGUAAUCAGAUUUUAUAAGAGCCCGUUGCCGGAAAUU